UGGUGGGAACUAUAAGGAGACUGCCGGUGAUAAGCCGGAGGAAGGCGGGGACGACGUCAAGUCAUCAUGGCCCUUACGACCAGGGCUACACACGUGCUACAAUGGGAAGAACAAAGAGUUGCGAAGCCGCGAGGUGUAGCUAAUCUCACAAAUCUUUUCGUAGUCCGGAUCGGAGUCUGCAACUCGACUCCGUGAAGUCGGAAUCGCUAGUAAUCGUAGAUCAGAACGCUACGGUGAAUACGUUCCCGGGUCUUGUACACACCGCCCGUCAUACCAUGGGAGUGGGUUGCACCAGAAGUAGCUAGUCUAACUGUUUACAGGGGACGGUUACCACGGUGUGAUUCAUGACUGGGGUAAAGUCGUAACAAGGU
rnacentral:rRNA from 1 species